rnacentral:rRNA from 1 species
CCUACGGGGGGCAGCAGUGAGGAAUAUUGGUCAAUGGACGAGAGUCUGAACCAGCCAAGUAGCGUGAAGGAUGACUGCCCUAUGGGUUGUAAACUUCUUUUUUAAAGGAAUAAAACGAGGCACGUGUGCCGUUUUGCAUGUACUUUAUGAUUAAGGAUCGGCUAACUCCGUGACAGCAGCCGCGGUAAUACUGAGGAUCCGAGCGGUAUCCGGGUUUAGUGGGUUUAAAGGGAGCGUAGAUGGGUUGUUAAGUCAGUUGUGAAAGUUUGCGGCUCAAACGUAAAAUUGCAAUUGAUACUGGCAGUCUUGAGUACAGUUGAGGUAAGCGGAAUUCGAGGUGUAGCGGUGAAAUGCUUAGAUAUCACGAAGAACCCCGAUUGCGAAGGCAGCUUACUAAACUGUGACUGACAUUGAUGCUCGAAAGUGUGGGUAUCAAACAGGAUUAGAUACCCCAGUAGUC